ACCAGUGUGGCGCAGUAGUUUGAGUGCUGGUCUAUGACUCUAGGGACCGGGGUUCGAAUCCCAACAUGGCCA